rnacentral:lncRNA from 1 species
AACUCACAAACAAUACUUUGCAUGUUGCAACACAGAUUUCCAUAUUCCUUUCCAGCAAGUUGUUGUUGACUUUUAGCCCUUUAUAGACCUUUAGUUAAUACAAAAGUCCAGACCUUGCUCAGUCUCGGAUAAAUAAAGUUCAGUUCAAAACCUUCAGAUGUAAUGUAUAAUGUCAGCUUAAGAAGGUAUAAACCAGUCCAACAGCAUGUUUUUGAGAAUACUCAAAUGCACAAAUUGCCUGACACACAUUGUCCCGAUAAAGCUUCAUAUUGCAUCUGCUUUUGCAACUUGCCUCCGGCAUAUUAUCAAGACAAUGGACAAUUAGGCUUCAAUGUCAAAUGCACGAUUAACGAAAAAUGAAACAGUUCUUGAACAUAGCUUCACAUAGAACAAAUUAAUAAUGCCAAUAGCAAUAGAACCCUGCACUCACCUGAAAAGAAAACAAGCAUCCACAGUGUUCAAAAUUGUUUAAUGAAAACUUGAUCCUCACAUGUAAUCUAAAAUGAAAACCCUUGUUGGUUGGGGGGGGGGGGCCCAAAUAAUUGAUCGAGAUACUGAUAAAAUUGCAGGUCAUGAGCCUUCCAGAAGAGCAUAUUUUGAUUAUGAAAGGCAGCAGCAGUAACACGUGUACUAUAAUUUGGAAGAUGUACCUAACUGAAUACCAAUUACGUACAAUUACAAUUUUGCAGCAAAUCAAAGUGAUGAGAACAUUAGUUGGCAAGCAAAGCUAUGACAGCAACUACAUAGAAAGAGUCAUUACUCCAGAUCGUACCUAUUCAUUUCGAUGGCAUCUUCCGAAACCAGUAAAGUUUCGCUUUGAAUUGAACAUAAAUUAUUUCUAACCUGCAGUUUGUAGUGUCAAGUGCUG